UGUAAGAAGAGGCGUGAAAGCAGGAAAUAUACCAGCCUUGAGGUCAAACAGCAGUCUUUGCCCUGGCAAACAAAAAAGAACGUGAACCCUUUCAUCCAAAGGACAGGCAAUAGCUCAACAAUAAAAAACUCCGUGAAGAACCAUAUAGCAGCAAAUUUCUUAAUUGUAAGUGAAAAUUUCUUAACUUACAAAUUAUUAAUUUUGAUAUUAACCUUGGUGUUAUCUUUCCUCUGUUAUAUGAUAGAAUUCAAUAUUAUGAUAUGUAAUUGUUUCAGCAUGCGUACCAUAAAAUUCUUAAACAUCUUCCAUAAGACUAAAAAGUAGAUAAUAUUCUAUUUGUUAGGCAUUCCCUACCUGGAGGCACAAAAAUAAAUUCACACUGGCUGUAAGUUUGUGCUGAGAAUGUUUUCACCUCUUUUUGGAU
rnacentral:lncRNA from 1 species